GAUGAACGCUGGCUACAGGCUUAACACAUGCAAGUCGAGGGGAAACGACGGGGAAGCUUGCUUCCCCGGGCGUCGACCGGCGCACGGGUGAGUAACGCGUAUCCAACCUGCCUCUGACUGAGGGAUAACCCGUCGAAAGUCGGCCUAAUACCUCAUGGCAUCGUCUGCGGGCAUCCAACGACGAUUAAAGAUUUCAUCGGUCAGGGAUGGGGAUGCGUCUGAUUAGCUUGUUGGCGGGGUAACGGCCCACCAAGGCUACGAUCAGUAGGGGUUCUGAGAGGAAGGUCCCCCACAUUGGAACUGAGACACGGUCCAAACUCCUACGGGAGGCAGCAGUGAGGUAUAUUGGUCAAUGGGCGGGAGCCUGAACCAGCCAAGUAGCGUGCAGGAUGACGGCCCUAUGGGUUGUAAACUGCUUUUAUGCGGGGAUAAAGUGAGGGACGUGUCCUUCAUUGCAGGUACCGCAUGAAUAAGGACCGGCUAAUUCCGUG
rnacentral:rRNA from 1 species